rnacentral:rRNA from 1 species
AUGUGCAUCUUGAAGAAUCAAGGAGGGAUGGGUUUUCGUGAUAUUCAUUGUUUCUUGGCAAUGCUAGCAAAACAGGCUUGGCGACUUCUCGAAAGCCCUGAUUCUUUAUGUGCUGCUAUCUUGAGAGCCAAGUACUAUCCUGAUGGUGAUUUGCUGAAUACCAAAUUAAAGAAGGGCUCAUCUUUUACCUGGCUGAGUAUUAUGGCAGGGGUGAAUUCCCUGAAGCAUGGGCAUAUUUCGCGAGAGGGGAAUGGCAAUAUUUGGGAAGACGCUUGGAUCCCAAAUUGUGCAGAUAGGUAA